AGAGUUUGAUCAUGGCUCAGAACGAACGCUGGCGGCGUGGAUAAGACAUGCAAGUCGAGCGCUGAUUACGAGGUAGCAAUAUUUCGUAGUUGGAGCGGCGCAAGGGUGCGUAACACGUGGGUAAUCUGCCGUGAAGUCUGGAAUAACUUGCUGAAAGGCGAGCUAAUACCGGAUGUGAAAAUUGGAGGGCAUCUUCUGAUUUUCAAAGUUGGGGACCGUAAGGCCUGACGCUUCACGAUGAGCCCGCGGCCUAUCAGCUAGUUGGUGAGGUAACGGCUCACCAAGGCUAAGACGGGUAGCUGGUCUGAGAGGACGACCAGCCACACUGGAACUGAGACACGGUCCAGACACCUACGGGUGGCAGCAGUCGAGAAUUUUUCACAAUGGGCGAAAGCCUGAUGGAGCGACGCCGCGUGGGGGAUGAAUGGCUUCGGCCCGUAAACCCCUGUCAUUCGCGAACAAUGCCUGCGUGCUAACACCACGCAGGUUGAUAGUAGCGGAAGAGGAAGGGACGGCUAACUCUGUGCCAGCAGCCGCGGUAAUACAGAGGUCCCAAGCGUUGUUCGGAUUCACUGGGCGUAAAGGGUGCGUAGGUGGUCGGGUAAGUCUGAUGUGAAAUCUCGGAGCUCAACUCCGAAACGGCAUUGGAUACUAUUCGGCUUGAGGGUUGGAGGGGGGACUGGAAUUCUCGGUGUAGCAGUGAAAUGCGUAGAUAUCGAGAGGAACACCAGUGGCGAAGGCGAGUCCCUGGACAACUCCUGACACUAAGGCACGAAAGCUAGGGGAGCAAACAGGAUUAGAUACCCUAGUAGUCC
rnacentral:rRNA from 1 species